GCAGCCGCCGCGGGAAUACGGAGGGUGCAAGCGUUAAUCGGAAUUACUGGGCGUAAAGCGCACGCAGGCGGUCUGUCAAGUCAGAUGUGAAAUCCCCGGGCUUAACCUGGGAACUGCAUUUGAAACUGGCAGGCUAGAGUCUUGUAGAGGGGGGUAGAAUUCCAGGUGUAGCGGUGAAAUGCGUAGAGAUCUGGAGGAAUACCGGUGGCGAAGGCGGCCCCCUGGACAAAGACUGACGCUCAGGUGCGAAAGCGUGGGGAGCAAACAGGAUUAGAUACCCCAGUAGUCCCUGUCUCUUAUAC
rnacentral:rRNA from 1 species